rnacentral:snRNA from 1 species
GUGCUUGCUUCGGCAGCACAUAUACUAAAAUUGGA